AUCAAACUCAAAACUCUACCUCCUUCACACGUCACUGCCCUCACUCCCUCUCCUUCUCUACUGCUGUGAACAAGAAACGGAUCCAAGGACCUAGGAUCGAAUCGUUUUCUAGUAAAUCCGACCUCCGUCUUGGGAAGGUUUAUACGAACAAAUUUUGACAAGUAUAUAUAUUUAGACAACAAAUCAAGAAACAAGUGUUCUGUUACCCUGAGUUCUACGUUUCCCGUGGAGCGUCCCACAAGCACUUUAUUGAGGCCCCGAUAACGUGUGCCCCUUCUGUGAUGGAGAGAUUAGUUCACGGCAUCCCUAGGUACAAAUGUGGUACAUAGCUACUAGGACGCGUAUGGAUCAUUCCUAGGAUUAUU